AUACCACAUUGAAACACUGGUUCUCAUACAGUCACUGAAGUUAAGCAAUGUCCAAGCUUGAUGAGUACCUAGAUGGGUGACUGCUUGGGACUACCAGGUGUUGUAAG